GACGAACGCUGGCGGCGUGCUUAACACAUGCAAGUCGAGCGGUAAGGCUCCUUCGGGAGUACACGAGCGGCGAACGGGUGAGUAACACGUGAGCAAUCUGCCCUUCACACGGGGAUAACCCUCGGAAACGAGAGCUAAUACCCGAUACGACCACUUCAGGCAUCUGAUGGUGGUGGAAAGUUCCGGCGGUGAAGGAUGAGCUCGCGGCCUAUCAGCUUGUUGGUGGGGUAACGGCCCACCAAGGCAACGACGGGUAGCCGGCCUGAGAGGGUGACCGGCCACACUGGGACUGAGACACGGACCAGACUCCUACGGGAGGCAGCAGUGGGGAAUAUUGGACAAUGGGCGAAAGCCUGAUCCAGCAACGCCGCGUGAGGGAUGACGGCCUUCGGGUUGUAAACCUCUUUCAGCAGGGACGAAGCGCAAGUGACGGUACCUGCAGAAGAAGCACCGGCCAACUACGUGCCAGCCACCGCCGUAA
rnacentral:rRNA from 1 species